rnacentral:rRNA from 1 species
ACGGAGGAUCCAAGCGUUAUCCGGAAUUAUUGGGUUUAAAGGGUCCGCAGGCGGUCUGAUAAGUCAGAGGUGAAAUACUAUCGCUCAACGAUAGAACUGCCUUUGAUACUGUUAGACUUGAGUUAUUGUGAAGUAGUUAGAAUGUGUAGUGUAGCGGUGAAAUGCAUAGAUAUUACACAGAAUACCGAUUGCGAAGGCAGAUUACUAACAAUACACUGACGCUCAUGGACGAAAGCGUGGGUAGCGAACAGG